CGACUCUCGGCAACGGAUAUCUCGGCUCACGCAUCGAUGAAGAACGUAGCAAAAUGCGAUACUUGGUGUGAAUUGCAGAAUCCCGUGAACCAUCGAGUUUUUGAACGCAAGUUGCGGCCGAAGCCAUUCGGUUGAGGGCACGUCUGCCUGGGCGUCACG
rnacentral:rRNA from 1 species